GACUUACGAGAGAGGUUCAGAAUAAGAUGGGGAGAUGGAGAGGGGGUUGGAUGGUGAGAGAGACAGGGAAAGAAAUUGAGAGAGGGAAAAACAGAGAAAGAGAAGGUUUCAGGAUGCAGAAAGAUUCUCAAAAGGAUGAACACGUGUAAAAGAUAGAGAGAGAUUUAGAAACAUACAGAGAGAGGGGAGACGUCUAGAGAGAGUGACACAGAUUUCAACCUGUGCAGACAUUUGCUUUGAGGGUUCGAGGAAUGUCUUAUCAUGCCAACACAACUCUGUAAUUUGAGUUGAUAAAAUCAACAGAGAGAAACAGACUUCCAUUGAAUAAAUAAAAACACAUUCAGGGCCAGGGCCCAAACUUUUUAGACCAAGAGAUUGAGAGCGGUGAACUUUUUUGCAAUUCCUACAAGAGAAAGCCAGAGAGAAUCUGCCGUGUUAUACUCACAAUCCUUCAACCACACUCAAUUCAGUCAUUCGUCACAAUCAAGAUGUUUCAGUUUACACAGGAGCGUGUGUGGGAGAGAUGGAGACAGAGAGAGAGACACAGAGAGAGAGAGAGAGAGAGAGAGAGAGAGAGAGAGAGAGAGAGAGAGAGAGAGAGAGAGAGAAUGUGAUGGAGACAGAGAGAGAGACACAGAGAGAGAGAGAGAGAGAGAGAGAGAGAGAGAGAGAGAGAGAGAGAGAGAGAGAGAGAGAGAGAGAGAGAGACAGAGAGAGAGAGAAUGAGAUGGAGACAGAGGUAGUUGCCAGGGGGUGAAUAAGAUAAAGCGAAUCAAAACGAGGUACAGAAAGAAUGGAUGAGACAGACAGAAAUGGAGAAAAGAUGGCGAGAGGCAGAUAUAGACGCAGAUAAGGGCGGAAAGACGAAAUAGGGACACGGAGAUAGAGUGUGCAUGACAAAGGACAGAAGAUGGAGAGAGAGAAAAAAAAGAGAGAGAGAGAGAGAGAGACAGGGAAUAUUGGCUCUCUCCACCUCCAUCUCUUCCCCACAUCCAGGCCUUGGCCAAGCCAGGCCAGGCAGCCCUCCAAGCAGGCAACACAGAGCAUGGAAGAGCCUGGUGGUGGUGGUGGUGGGCUGUGUGUGUGUGUGUGUGUGUGUGUGUGUGUGUGUGUGUGUGUGUGUGUGUGUGUGUGUGUUUGAGUGUGGUGGUGGGCUGUGUGUGUGUGUGUGUGUGUGUGUGUGUGUGUGUGUGUGUGUGUGUGUGUGUGUGUGUGUGUGUCCGCGUGUGUGUGUGUGGGUUGUGUGUGUGUGUGUGUGUGUGUGUGUGUGUGUGUGUGUGUGUGUGUGUGUGUGUGUGUGUGUGUGUGUGUGUGUGUGUGUGUGUGUGUGUGUGUGUGUGUGUGUGUAGCGCAGAGCAUCUCUCUAAGCUUCUCUGUGGUGGACGGUGGCCUUUGAAGCCUCCGGGAGACAGAUGUGGACGAGAUGAGGGACUAGCAGUUCUUUUUUUCAAAGGGGAAUGAGAUGGGGGCUUUUAUUUCGAACUCUGUGGCUAAUAUUUAGUAAUUUGUCUUCACUUGAGUCAUUUCCUCUGUACAUUCUUUCUUCAUGCUCCCUUUAAUUGACUGGACCUGACGUGCUGUAACAUUAUGGUUAGAGCUUAAUGCUCAGACUCUUUACAGAGUUUGAUGCAAGCAUGCACACACACACACACAAACACACACACACACACACAAGUACGCACACACACACACACCAUACAUACAUCCGUGCACACACACACACACACACACACACACACACACACAUACAUACAAGCAUGCACACACAUGCGCAGACACACAUAGACACACAUACACACAUCGACACACACACACACACACACACCCACACAACCACACUCACAAGCACUCAAAGUCACCCAAGCUCCUCAUUGCAACACUGUGUAACCAUGGUAAAUGUUUGGUGACUCACUGUAUUGUUGUGGUGAAAUGUGCCCAGAAACAAUAAACUGAAUGCUAAACCAGGCCUGUCGUCCAGCUAUUGAAGGGACAAACACACCCAAACACGCAAAAAUACACAAUCACACACGCACACACACUGACAAUUAAAGCCAUGCAGGAUAAAUUUAGUUAUUUAGCAGAUACUUUUAACAAAGCAACUUACAGUGAGUAGGAUAAAUGUCAUUAAGAAUCAGGUUGGGGUUAGACAGUGCAGAUACAUGUUAAUACGGAGCAGGUAGGGGAUAGAGAAUACAGAUGCAUACCAAUAAGGAACAGGUAGGGGUAAGACAGUACAGAUUCAGGUCAUUUAGGAGCAGGUAGGGGUAAGACAGUACAGAUUCAGAUCAUUAAGGAGCAGGUACGUGUUAGACAGUUCACAGACAGGUCAUCAAGUAGCAGGAAGGCCUUAGAAGCAUAGCUCAGGGAUUACUUAGUGUUAGACUGCAGACAUGGUAGACUCAAACCCAGUACCUCUGAUACAACAAUAAGGUUCAGAAGCCCAUUUUCCAGAAGCACAGACGGGCUGAAGUCAUUAGGGGACUCGGGUAGGUCGGUUGUUGGUGGUGGAGUUGGGAGGUUUGAGGCCGCUACUCAGAGGGUGGUGUGUGAUGGUCUGUUUCCUGGAGGUCCGUCUGAUUAAAGACAUGAACACGAGGCUUGCAUCUUCCCAGAGACUCAAUACCCCCCCGCCCCUCCUCGGCCUCCCCUAGUUGCCCUUGUUGCCCGCGGAAACGCUGACUCACCAGGAUAUCUCCGUGGCGAUGCAACCCUAACCCCUGUGUUAUUAUGAGAGGCAGGCAAGAGUCCCGGUCCUGGUGUUGGUGCAUGGUUGAGGAACAACUUGCAGACGGACGGGCAGAAUGAGUGACAGACAGAUGGCCGGACUGGCAGAUGGACAGCGAUAGCCAAAGAGAGAGAGGUUAGAGAAAGACUAGGGACAGAGAGAGAAAGACCUGCAGAUAGACAUACAGUACAACAAGCAGGCAAAUAGACAGAUUUCAACAAUUUCUCCCUGGGGAUCAAUAAAGUAUUUCUGAUUUCUGAUUCUGAUUGUCAGAGGAACAAGCAUAUAGAGAAACAGACAAGCAAGAGAGACAGGCAGACAAAUUGACAGAUAGACAGAUCGGUAGAUCUAUAUAUAUAUAGAUAGAUGAUUCUAGACUGUGGCCGGCGCCUACAAGACCAUAAUUCCCCCCCUCCAUGUUUUAACCCAAAUUGUUAUUUUUUCUACUGCUAGGAGGGAAUAAUUACAAUGUGUAAACCCACCACAACCACAGUCACACACACACACAAGCACUACACACAGGCAUUGAAGGAAAACACACACACACUUACACACACAUGCAAUCACACACUGUCCACCCACACACAUUAAUUGCCCACUAAUUCACCGAGAAUGAAGUACAUUUUACUGAUGCAUAAUCCAUGCCCCCCCGCGUUCACAUCUCAUUCAUGCUCAGGAGGGAACGCCCGUCUGAUGGAUUUAUAAUAAUUAUCUAUGUGUGGCAUCUUUACUUAUUAUUGUUCAGAUAGUCUCAUGGUUAAUGUAGAUUUGAUUCCACCAGAAAAUAAAGUCGAAGGUCCAAUGAAAUGUUACGUUUCAGAGAACAGUUGGGUAGCCAUCUUGGAUCUUUUUCUCCUGUUUCGGAGUGAGAUUUACAACGAGUACUGGGGGAAUGCUGACCCAGUUAGCCUAGCGUAGCCCAGCGUAGCCUGGCUAACCCCUGUCAGCGGCAGGCGGGAACUGCAGGCGCCGUACAGUUAAU